CUACCUGGUUGAUCCUGCCAGUGGUAUAUGCUUGUCUCAAAGAUUAAGCCAUGCAAGUGCCAGUAUGAGAAUUUAUACAACGAAACUGCGAAUGGCUCGGUAAAACAGCUAUAAUUUCUUCAGAGGUAAAUACUACUCGGAUAACCGUAGUAAUUCUAGAGCUAAUACGUACGAUUUUAAAAAAGGCGGGAAACAAAAUUUUUUUGUUUGCCGUGGUACAAAUUAGAUAAACAAACCAAUAUUCUUUUUGGUGAUUCAUACUUUUUUUCUGACUUCCCCCUCGGGGGAGGCACUCUGAUCAAAUUUCUGACCUAUCAACUAUGAUGGUAAGGUAGUGGCUUACCAUGGUUGUGACGGGUAACGGACCGUGGGUGCGGGAUUCCGGAGAGGGAGCCUGAGAAACGGCUACCACAUCCAAGGAAGGCAGCAGGCGCGCAAACUACCCAAUCCGAACUUCGGGAGGUGGUGACAAAAAAUAGCAAUAGAGAGCACGAUGUGCUUUCUAAUUGGAAUGAGAACAAUGUAAACGGCUUAUCGAGGAGCCAGCAGAGGGCAAGUCUGGUGCCAGCAGCCGCGGUAAUUCCAGCUCUGUAAGCGUAUAUCAAAGUUGUUGCAGUUAAAACGCUCGUAGUCGAAUUUUGGCGCGCCACCUGUGACCGUCCUACCGGACGGGUGCGCGGGUGGACGUCUUUGUGGACUGGGGGCUCGGUGGUGCUUUACUGCCUCGCCGGGUUCCUGCCACCGUUUACUGUGAAAAAAUUAGAGUGUUCAAAGCAAGCGAUUGCCCUGAAUACAUUAGCAUGGAAUAAUAGAAUAGGACCUGGUUUCUUAUUUUUAUUGGUUUGUAUAUAUCAGGUAAUGAUUAAAAGGGACGGUCGGGGGUAUUUGUAUUCCGGCGCUAGAGGUGAAAUUCUUGGAUUGCCGGAAGACAAACAGCUGCGAAAGCGUCUACCAAGGACGUUUUCAUUGAUCAAGAACGAAAGUAAGGGGAUCGAAGACGAUCAGAUACCGUCGUAGUCUUUACUGUAAACUAUGAGGACUGGGGAUCGGAUGUGGCAGUUUUUUUUGGUACAUUCGGCACCCUCCGGGAAACCAAAGUAUUUGCUUUCUGGGGGGAGUAUGGUCGCAAGUCUGAAACUUAAAGGAAUUGACGGAAGGGCAUCACCGGGUGUGGAGCCUGCGGCUUAAUUUGACUCAACACGGGAAAACUUACCAGGUCCAGACAUAGUGAGGAUUGACAGAUUGAGAGCUCUUUCUUGAUUCUAUGGUUGGUGGUGCAUGGCCGUUCUUAGUUGGUGGAGUGAUCUGUCUGGUUAAUUCCGUUAACGAGCGAGACCUGGGCGUGCUAGCUAGGGGACGCUAUUGCAUUUGUUGCUAGCGCUUUUUUUUUCUCCCUUCCUAGACGGACUGUGGGCGUCUAGCCCACGGAAGCUCCAGGCAAUAACAGGUCUGAGAUGCCCUUAGAUGUUCUGGGCCGCACGCGUGCUACACUGAGCAGAGCAACGGGACAGGUAGUGCGAAAGCACGACCGAAUCUCUAAAUCCGCUCGUGCUGGGGAUUGAGGCUUGCAAUUUUCCCUCCUGAACGAGGAAUACCUUGUAAGCGCGGGUCAUCAUCCCGCGCUGAAUACGUCCCUGCCCUUUGUACACACCGCCCGUCGCUCCUACCGAUUGAGUGGUCCGGUGAGGCCUUGGGAUAAAUUGGUGAGACUGUUUUUACAAACGGACGAGCUGGUUUUAAACUUGGUCAAACCUUAUCACUUAGAGGAAGGAGAAGUCGUAACAAGGUUUCCGUAGGUGAACCUGCGGAAGGAUCAUUCA
rnacentral:rRNA from 1 species